GACGAACGCUGGCGGCGUGCUUAACACAUGCCAGUCGAACGGAAAGGCCCUUCUUUUGUGGGGUACUCGAGUGGCGAACGGGUGAGUAACACGUGAGUGACCUGCCCUGGACUUUGGGAUAACUUCAGGAAACUGGGGCUAAUACCGGAUAGGAGCUCCGGCUGCAUGGUGGGGGGGGGAAAGUUUCGGCGGUUGGGGAUGGACUCGCGGCUUAUCAUCUUGUUGGUGGGGUAGGGGCUUACCAAGGCUUUGACGGGUAGCCGGCCUGAGAGGGUGACCGGCCACAUUGGGACUGAGAUACGGCCCAGACUCCUACGGGAGGCAGCAGUGGGGAAUAUUGCACAAUGGGCGGAAGCCUGAUGCAGCAACGCCGCGUGCGGGAUGACGGCCUUCGGGUUGUAAACCGCUUUCGCCUGUGACGAAGCGUGAGUGACGGUAAUGGGUAAAGAAGCACCGGCUAACUACGUG
rnacentral:rRNA from 1 species